rnacentral:rRNA from 1 species
UACGUCGGGUGCGAGCGUUAAUCGGAAUUACUGGGCGUAAAGGGUGCGCAGGCGGUUCUGCAAGUCAGGCGUGAAAUCCCCGGGCUUAACCUGGGAAUGGCGCUUGAAACUACGGGACUGGAGUAUGGCAGAGGGAGGUGGAAUUCCGCGUGUAGCGGUGAAAUGCGCAGAUAUCAGGAGGAACACCAAUUGCGAAGGCAGCUCGCUGGGACGUAACUGACGCUGAGACGCGAAAGCGUGGGGAGCAAACAGG